GCAGAAGCCAGCAGUCAUCUCCCACAGCCAGGGCUGGCGUCGUCUUGGGGAAGCGAAAACAUGGGGUGAGGAUAUGAAGGAGAUGUGGACAAUCAGAGGGACACCCCAGAAGCCUGGGCUCCAACGCAGGGACCAUGCCAACAGGCUGCAAGCUAGUUCCUGAGGUCUGGUGACAGAGGAGGCCCUGGCCCCGUAGGGAAAGCUGAGACACUGGCUCAGCACAGGAAGGGAUUCUCGGGAGCAGUCCCCUCUGGCCACAGAGACAGGAGACCUAUCCCACACCUGCCUCAGGGCCAGCUGGGAGUUGGCUCAGGGGAAGACUUUACCAAGGGCCCUAGCUUGGCAGGGGGUUGGCUCUGUGGAUUUCUCAGCCUCAGGACUAGUGACAUUGGGGUGUGGCUGAUUCCUUCUUGUAAGGGAUGACCUUGUCUUGUAGGACAUUCAGCCAACCCCUGACCUCCACCACUGGAUGCCUGUAGCACCUCCCCCCCCCCUCAAAAAUGUCUGUAGACCUUGGUAGCACAUACAUCCUGGGGUGCAGAAGCACACCCUCCCCUUGGAGAGACACCCAGGGUCUCUGCCUGCCCUGGCUGCACACGGGGACCCCUGGGGCGUUCAAGGGUACUGAGGCCUGGUGACUUCUCAGAGUGAUG
rnacentral:lncRNA from 1 species